rnacentral:rRNA from 1 species
GUGUCGUAGCCAACGCGUUAAGUGUUCCGCCUGGGGAGUACGCACGCAAGUGUGAAACUCAAAGGAAUUGACGGGGGCCCGCACAAGCGGUGGAGUAUGUGGUUUAAUUCGAUGCAACGCGAAGAACCUUACCAGGGUUUGACAUCCUGCGAAUCUCCUGGAAACGGGAGAGUGCCUUCGGGAACGCAGUGACAGGUGGUGUAUGGCUGUCGUCAGCUCGUGUCGUGAGAUGUUGGGUUAAGUCCCGCAACGAGCGCAACCCACGUCUUUAGUUGCCAGCAUUCAGUUGGGCACUCUAGAGAGACCGCCGGUGAUAAACCGGAGGAAGGUGUGGAUGACGUCAAGUCAUCAUGCCCCUUACAUCCUGGGCUACACACGUACUACAAUGCUACGGACAAAGGGCAGCAAACUCGCGAGAGCUAGCAAAUCCCAUAAACCGUGGCUCAGUUCAGAUCGUAGGCUGCAACUCGCCUACGUGAAGGAGGAAUCGCUAGUAAUCGCAGGUCAGCAUACUGCGGUGAAUACGUUCCCGGGCCUUGUACACACCGCCCGUCACACCAUGGAAGUUGGCCACGCCCGAAGCCGUUACUCCAACCCUUGUGGAGGAGGACGUCGAAGGUGGGGCUGAUGACUGGGGUGAAGUCGUAACAAGGUAACCAAGGGCGAA